GGAAACUUAGGGUAAAGAGCGAGGAGAAAUGGCCUCAACUGCAUGCUUCUUGCACCAUCAUGCCAUCACUACCCCAGCAAGAACAUCAUCACAACGUUAUGUUCUACCUCUUAAGCCCAACCAACUAGUCUGCCGUGCCCAAAAGCAGACUGUUCAAGAAGAAGAUGAUAGCAAUGUUGCUGCUGUUUCUCGUAGAUUGGCUCUGACUCUGCUCAUUGGUGCAGCUGCUGUUGGCUCAAAAGUCUCACCUGCUGAUGCCGCCUAUGGAGAAGCCGGUAAUACUACACACACACACAUAAUAUAGUCCUACUAUGUGAUUUUUUAUCAAAGUUUCUUGGCAAAACCAACUUUUUUACUUGGACUCGAAUUUUGUCACACAUUCUUAUCGUAGGAUUAAUGUAUUUUCAGGCCAGAAAGAUUAACUAUUGAUAGAUUGUUUGUGUUUGCCAAUCUUUCUUUGUGAUCAGGCUUUAGAAAUAGUUAUAUUUGCUGCGUAUGAUUCUUGAGGAAAGAUUCUUAGGAAAAUCAACUUCUUAUUCAGACAAGAUUUUUGUCACAGAUUAUUCUUGUAGUAGGCUUAAUCAACUUCUUAUGAUGGCUAAGCUUUUCUUUGAUCAGGCUUUAGAAUAGUUGUAUUGCAUAGAAAGAGUCAUUGAUUAUUGGAUCAAAAUCACAAGUUCCUUGACAUCCGUUCAUAGUACAGUUGUUUUUGGGUUCCAUUUUCUUAGGACUAAAUUUAUCAAUCAAGGAGCUAAUCCAUAUUGAUGUUGAUGGCAGCUAAUGUUUUCGGCAAACCAAAGACAAACACGGAUUACAUUCCUUACAAUGGAGCUGGUUUUAAGCUGUCGAUUCCCUCAAAAUGGAACCCAAGCAAAGAAGUUGAGUUCCCUGGCCAAGUUCUUAGAUAUGAAGACAACUUCGAUAGCAACAGCAGUGUCUCUGUUAUAAUCAUCCCAUGUGACAAGAAAUCCAUCACUGACUAU
rnacentral:lncRNA from 1 species